ensembl:lncRNA LINC02826 long intergenic non-protein coding RNA 2826
CCAGAAAUGGGCGUGGCCAACGGAGAGACCUCUCCCACAAGGAGAUGAGGACACAGACAUGUACAGAGGAAAGACCAUGUGAAAACGCAGGGAGAAGACACCAUCUGCAAGCCAGGAUGAGGGGUCUCAGAAGAAAUCAACCCUGCCAACACCUGAGCUCACACUUCCAGCCUCCAGAACUGGAGAACACCCAAGGAAUGGGACGGUGCUGUCAAGAGGACAUGGAGAAGAAAACUCUUGAACCAAGGAGGACUUAGAAACACGGAGGAGGACCUGGAUGUGCCCCCAUUUAUGAUGGCGCUAGAGCCAGUGGCUUCUCUCUUGCUCGCUCUAGCUGUCUUUUCUUAAGCUCUGGGAAAGUGGUAUUUAGCUCUCAAUUUCCAGGGCUCUCAUUCUAUAUUUUGCCCCAGGGUUGUCACUAAAUCCAGUUUGGUCAGCAUUAGGUAAGUAGCUCUUUGGGUGACUGAGUGGGGUGGAGUGAUGUCCAAUAAACAUCAAGGCAUAAUGGGCAGAGCCACAGGAACCAGGACAUGGCAUGGAGCGAGCCGUGGCUGGUCCAGAGCAGGUGCA